rnacentral:lncRNA from 1 species
GACAGCCCCUUUCUGCCUUGGGCCCCUCAAAAUAUCCAAGUCCCAAGAAGGCCACAGAGAACUUGCAGGACAGACUCAAUGUUGAAGAGAGGCAGAGCUUCCAAUUCACAGUCCGAGGUUGUGACUCACCUAGGGCCACACAUCAGUAGCAAGCAGAGGUGGAGGGACAUGUGUAUGGGGGGGGGUGUCAGUUUUUCGCCCUUCCUCAGCCCCCUUGCAUGGCCCACACCCCAGGAGUCAGAGGCAAAGGCAGAAGUCUAAAGAAAGGAGGCACCAUGUUCUAGAAGGCCUAGGUGUGAGUAGGAUCCAGAGGGCAGAAAUGUCAGCAUGUGGGGUGCCUGGAGGAGACACACUCUGGCCACACUGGCUCAGUGAGAGGAGGCUCGUGGGGCCAAGGCCCAGCAGUCUGAGGCUCUCUCUGCUCUCUGUAGUUAGUUGUCUUCAGCCGUGGGAGAGCUACAGCCUUACCUUUCCUCCCUCAGACCAGCAGCAGAAGCAACAGUAUACAUGACACCCGGUACAGCUACACACACACACACACACACACCACUUUCCCCCAAACAAAUCUUCAUGGACUUCCCAUGUCCAUGCACGUACACAUCCAGGUACCUCCUGAGAUCAAAGACACACAGAUGUCAUAGUCUUUUGCAGAAACUCCUGUGAAGAAAUUCCUUCUGGUAUG